AGAGUUUGAUCAUGGCUCAGAUUGAACGCUGGCGGCAGGCCUAACACAUGCAAGUCGAACGGUAACAGGAAGCAGCUUGCUGCUUUGCUGACGAGUGGCGGACGGGUGAGUAAUGUCUGGGAAACUGCCUGAUGGAGGGGGAUAACUACUGGAAACGGUAGCUAAUACCGCAUAACGUCGCAAGACCAAAGAGGGGGACCUUCGGGCCUCUUGCCAUCGGAUGUGCCCAGAUGGGAUUAGCUAGUAGGUGGGGUAACGGCUCACCUAGGCGACGAUCCCUAGCUGGUCUGAGAGGAUGACCAGCCACACUGGAACUGAGACACGGUCCAGACUCCUACGGGAGGCAGCAGUGGGGAAUAUUGCACAAUGGGCGCAAGCCUGAUGCAGCGACGCCGCGUGGGGGAUGACGGCCUUCGGGUUGUAAACUCCUUUCACCAUCGACGAAGGGUUUCUGACGGUAGAUGGAGAAGAAGCACCGGCUAACUACGUGCCAGCAGCCGCGGUAAUACGUAGGGUGCGAGCGUUGUCCGGAAUUACUGGGCGUAAAGAGCUCGUAGGUGGUUUGUCGCGUCGUCUGUGAAAUUCCGGGGCUUAACUCCGGGCGUGCAGGCGAUACGGGCAUAACUUGAGUACUGUAGGGGAGACUGGAAUUCCUGGUGUAGCGGUGAAAUGCGCAGAUAUCAGGAGGAACACCGAUGGCGAAGGCAGGUCUCUGGGCAGUAACUGACGCUGAGGAGCGAAAGCAUGGGUAGCGAACAGGAUUAGAUACCCUGGUAGUCCAUGCCGUAAACGGUGGGCGCUAGGUGUGGGUUUCCUUCCACGGGAUCCGUGCCGUAGCUAACGCAUUAAGCGCCCCGCCUGGGGAGUACGGCCGCAAGGCUAAAACUCAAAGGAAUUGACGGGGGCCCGCACAAGCGGCGGAGCAUGUGGAUUAAUUCGAUGCAACGCGAAGAACCUUACCUGGGCUUGACAUACACCAGAUUGCUGCAGAGAUGUAGUGUCCCUUGUGGUUGGUGUACAGGUGGUGCAUGGUUGUCGUCAGCUCGUGUCGUGAGAUGUUGGGUUAAGUCCC
rnacentral:rRNA from 1 species